ACCAGACUCCUACGGGAGGCAGCAGUGGGGGAUAUUGCACAAUGGGGGAAACCCUGAUGCAGCGACGCCGCGUGUGGGAAGACGGUCCUCUGGAUUGUAAACCACUGUCCCCAGGGACGAAGAUGACGGUACCUGGGGAGGAAGCUCCGGCUAACUACGUGCCAGCAGCCGCGGUAAUACGUAGGGAGCGAGCGUUGUCCGGAAUUACUGGGUGUAAAGGGGGCGCAGACGGCAGCGCAAGCCAGGAGUGAAAGCCCGGGGCCCAACCCCGGGACUGCUCUUGGAACUGCGCGGCUGGAGUGCAGGAGGGGCAGGCGGAAUUCCUGGUGUAGCGGUGAAAUGCGUAGAUAUCAGGAGGAACACCGGUGGCGAAGGCGGCCUGCUGGACUGCGACUGACGUUGAGGCUCGAAAGCGUGGGGAGCGAACAGGAUUAGAUACCCCAGUA
rnacentral:rRNA from 1 species